rnacentral:lncRNA from 1 species
GUAAGUUUAUGACCUAUUAUGACUAUGUGAUGAAGACUCCAAAAAAGUACAGAGUUCAGACAGCAUUCAGAUUGGAGAACACAUCUAUGCGUGGAGAGAUGAAGCUUCCGGAUUCCAGAAGCUCCGGCACUGAGAACUCUUCCAGACCUUGCCCCAUGUCUCUCUUCAUCUGGCUGUUCAUUUGCAUCCCUUAUCAUAUCCUUUAAUGUAUAAUAAACUGAUUCAUACUGGUGGUUUUCUCCUUACUCAUCAUUGAAUGGGAGAAGUUCUGUCCAGACCUGCUGUCCCUAAAUAAUCCAUAGCUUGGAUUCCAGAAUGAGAAAAUGAGUUGAACAGAGCCAGAUGAACCCAGCUAGGUCAAGCCAAGCCCACAGAACCCCAGCUGAUCUGCAACAUUCAUGAAACAUUCUGUGGGUCUGCAAUUAGGACAGGGCAAACAGGGAUGGUUUGUCUCUGCUCCAUUCUGUCUGGUACCUCAGUUGGGAAGAUAAGAAGGCUGGGACUGAUGUGAUAGAUGGAGUCUGGAAUCAUCUGGAAGCAUCUUUACUUACAUCUUUGGAGGUUGAUGCCUGUUGUUG